rfam:Rattus norvegicus chromosome 18, whole genome shotgun sequence.
GGGGAUUUGGCUCAGUGGUAGAGCGCUUGCCUAGCAAGCACAAGGUCCUGGGUUCGGUCCCCAGCUCCA